rnacentral:rRNA from 1 species
GCGCAUACAAAGAGAAGCGACCUCGCGAGAGCAAGCGGACCUCAUAAAGUGCGUCGUAGUCCGGAUUGGAGUCUGCAACUCGACUCCAUGAAGUCGGAAUCGCUAGUAAUCGUGGAUCAGAAUGCCACGGUGAAUACGUUCCCGGGCCUUGUACACACCGCCCGUCACACCAUGGGAGUGGGUUGCAAAAGAAGUAGGUAGCUUAACCUUCGGGAGGGCGCUUACCACUUUGUGAUUCAUGACUGGGGUGAAGUCGUAACAAGGUAACCGUAGGGGAACCUGCGGUUGGAUCACCUCCUUACCUUAAAGAAGC